rnacentral:SRP_RNA from 1 species
GCUGGGCGUGGUGGCGGGCGCCUGUAAUCCCAGCUACUCAGGAGGCUGAGGCAGAGAAUUGCUUGAACCCAGGAGGUGGAGGUUGCAGUGAGCCAAGAUGGCGCCACUGCACCCCAGCCUGGGUGACAGAGUGAGACUCUGUCUCAA